rnacentral:rRNA from 1 species
UACGUAGGUGGCAAGCGUUGUCCGGAAUUAUUGGGCGUAAAGCGUGCGCAGGCGGUCCGCUAAGACCGAUGUGAAAUCCCCGGGCUUAACCUGGGAACUGCAUUGGUGACUGGCGGGCUGGAGUAUGGCAGAGGGGGGUAGAAUUCCACGUGUAGCAGUGAAAUGCGUAGAGAUGUGGAGGAAUACCGAUGGCGAAGGCAGCCCCCUGGGCCAAUACUGACGCUCAUGCACGAAAGCGCGGGGGAGCAAACAGGG